GACGAACGCUGGCGGCGUGCCUAAUACAUGCAAGUUGAGCGCUGAAGGUUGGUACUUGUACCGACUGGAUGAGCAGCGAACGGGUGAGUAACGCGUGGGGAAUCUGCCUUUGAGCGGGGGACAACAUUGGGAAACGAAUGCUAAUACCGCAUAAAAACUUUAAACACAAGUUUUAAGUUUGAAAGAUGCAAUUGCAUCACUCAAAGAUGAUCCCGCGUUGUAUUAGCUAGUUGGUGAGGUAAAGGCUCACCAAGGCGAUGAUACAUAGCCGACCUGAGAGGGUGAUCGGCCACAUUGGGACUGAGACACGGCCCAAACUCCUACGGGAGGCAGCAGUAGGGAAUCUUCGGCAAUGGACGAAAGUCUGACCGAGCAACGCCGCGUGAGUGAAGAAGGUUUUCGGAUCGUAAAACUCUGUUGGUAGAGAAGAACGUUGGUGAGAGUGGAAAGCUCAUCAAGUGACGGUAACUACCCAGAAAGGGACGGCUAACUACGUG
rnacentral:rRNA from 1 species